rnacentral:misc_RNA from 1 species
AAGUCGUAACAAGGUUUCCGUAGGUGAACCUGCGGAAGGAUCAUUACCGUGGGGAUUCGUCCCUAUCGAGAUAGCACCCUUUGUUUAUGAGUACCAUAUGUUUCCUCGGCAGGUCUGCCUAGACCCGCCGCCAGGACCCCCCAAAAAACCUUUGUAGUUGCAGUCCUUCAGUAAUCAAAAAAUAUCAAAACUUUCAACAACGGAUCUCUUGGUUCUG